AUCUUGCAGAAAUGGAACAACAAACAUAAUGUUACUGGGAUGUAAGUGAUGCGCGUAUUUCCCGGCUUUCUUUUAUCCUCGUAUAGGUAAGUUUACCAACUAGCUAAUUUCAAUUUUGAACAACGCGUCAUUUAAGUACUAUGCUGGAAGAGACAAAAAAAACAGAGUCGAAUACGGUAACCUCUUUUGUUAAACUGCUGUAUGGUACAGUUUAUCUCUUUCGUUCACCGCGGGACAGACCAGAUGAGGGUGAGAAAAGACGUUUAAGAACCUGUAUACUCCAGGCAAAAGUGUGUGUACAUUGUAUUUCUAAAUCAGGAGUGAGGAUCACGGACUCGCUGUGACAAGGUCAAAUGAAUGAAAAGUACAGGUGAGGUGGACCUAAUUAAUGCUGACAUAUAAUUGUUUACAUAAGGUCAUAAAACAUGCAGAGUUAAGCGUGAAAUGGCAAACGUGUCAUGUGGCUGCCUACCUCCCCCCAACCAAACCCCCCCCCCCCCCAUCACCACAUCCCCUCCCCCGUUUCUUUUUAGCUUAGUGCUGACAGUGCUGUUAAACGAUAUAACGCAUUAAACAAAAUUCCGCUGUGAUCAAGGUAAAGUUCUAGAACUUAGCUUGGAUCGACAUCAAACUCUCUCUCUCUCUCUCUGUGCAGACGACAGCCAGCGUCAAGGUGUAACAAUGUCUGACCGGUGUUGUUAAACUACAAAAUAGUUCAAUUGUUUCAGCAUACUGACCAUUACAGUUCCUUCAUGACAACAAAGACAAUGUAUAAAUCGUACGUGAGCAACCUGAAAGACGAGCCAUCGGUUUUGGUGUUCUACGUCAAUGGAAAACGGGUAGGUGGUUUUUAUUUAUUUGUUUUUUUUGUGAUUAUCUCGAGAGAGUUUGUGAAUGUAUGGCAAUUCGAUGUCUUUUUCGAAAAUCGAAGAAAUGCUCUGACAGUGUCAGAAGUGUUAUUGCAAAUGACGAUGUAAACUAAUGAUUGCAGUUUCCUGCGAAAGCAUCGUUAUUUAUUUAUUUAAACAACAUUUUAUUAUGCAAUAUAUCACAGAAACGUGUGGGAUAGCAGGCAUUGCCUAUAUAAUAAAAUUUACCUUGCAUAUGAUCAUGUUUAAUCUAUUCAUGAACGAUCAACGAAGACAAUUAAAACAGCAAUUGGAUUUAUAUUGCGAAAACUAAAACAUACAUGUAAACUACCAAAAUAGUCAUUUCUGAUUACAUGAUGAACUAUUACUAAAAAAACCUGCCGAAACAUUUACAGGUAACAAAUACAUAAUCAAAAUACAAAUUAACCUUGGCCUUGUAAGGGGCCGACUGUCUCACAAGAAAGGUACUAGGCGCUUCAUAGAGGAACAAAUAUUUAAAAGACCGUUAAUAUAAAACUCUUCCAGCGCAGCACGCAAUUAUGCGAGGUUUUGGAAAUCGAAGAAAGAUUCUCAACUAAAAAUGAAAUAACUGUUCACAGGUUACUCAAAUCAUUUUGUAUUUUGGAGAGGUUUACAAAGCAGGCACGUAGCAUCGUUUUUGAAAGUGGGGGGGGGGGGGGGGCGACUCAUCCAAAAAAUCUUAAAAAGC
rnacentral:misc_RNA from 1 species